rnacentral:rRNA from 1 species
UACGAAGGGGGCUAGCGUUGCUCGGAAUCACUGGGCGUAAAGGGUGCGUAGGCGGGUCUUUAAGUCAGCGGUGAAAUCCUGGAGCUCAACUCCAGAACUGCCUUUGAUACUGAGGAUCUUGAGUAUGGGAGAGGUGAGUGGAACUGCGAGUGUAGAGGUGAAAUUCGUAGAUAUUCGCAAGAACACCAGUGGCGAAGGCGGCUCACUGGCCCAUAACUGACGCUGAGGCACGAAAGCGUGGGGAGCAAACAGG